ACAACAUUGUAAAAUGACUAUAACUCAAUAAAAAAAUGUUUUAAAAAAAAGUGACCUCUUACUGAUCUGUAACCCUAAUCUGUGGUUACAAAUGACAUGAUCCCAAACAGCCAUUUCACCUCUCAGGGCCUCAGUUUUCUUUUUAAACUUGGGUUUGGGGUGGGGAACUAAGGGGGAGGAAGAUAAGAUUCCCUCUUUGGAUUACUAUACGAAUCAAAUUAAAUAAUAAUGCGAAGUCCUUAGUCUUGGACCUGGUGAGCAGUAAAUAUUCAGUAAGUACUAUCCAGAAAAGGCAAGGCCAAAGCAGUAGUUCAUUCAGAAACAUGGAGGAGGAAGUAGACACAAGUUAAAUAAGGCCAAGGGGAAGUAAAAAUUUGUGCAUGAAAAUUCCAGUAGGUGUUUUCUUUAUUUGUUUUAGCCCCAAAUAUCAUUGCUUUUUUUCUUCACUCCUAAAGCUUACAAAUCCAGUAGCACAAUAUUUGGGGGUAUUGUAUUAGGAUUGGAGAGGUUGUUCCUGAAAAGAAAAGUAAUAGGAGAUAAUCCAAUUUCUAAGUAAACUUAAAUUGGAGGAAAAUCCUGACUAUGAAGGUAGAUGCUGCUAUCAGAACAAUAUUAAUUACAGAAAACCCUAUUUUUGCCAAGUUUUAACUCCAGGAAGGAGGUUAUGAGAAAUCAUCACUUUAACGCUUCAUAGCUAGAUUUUAAAAUUUAAUGGAGAUGAUGGAAUUGGCAAUAGAAAGUGUCCACAGAGGCCACGCAGAAAAGCCCAGGCGUGUGUCACCUGAGCAGGGAAGUACAAGGCCUCCCUGUCUGCCUCAGUCACGAUGCUCAUGGGUUGAAAAACAUGGCAAGACAGCGAGCAGAGUAAUGGGUCGGGAACUGGGGUGAUCACCAUCUGCCAGCGUCACUAAGCAAAGCCAAAAAGGGGAGGCUGAAUUUGCCUGAUUUUGUGAUUCUUCACAGCCCUGAUUAUUUAUUGUCCACCAGAAGCCAUUCCCUCCUUCCCUAGUAACAAAAUACCUACUUUUAUUUCUGCAGGUGGACAUGUGACCCACUUGUGACCAAUUCACACCAGCAGAAGUCUGUGCAGGAGUUUCUGGAAAAGAUUUUUUUUCCCCUUUAAUAAUGGCAAGGGAAACAGAGAAAAAUGUCUCCCUUUUGUGCUGCCCUUGGUCCCAGGCACUGAAUACAACUGUGUGAUGCUUGGAACUGCAGCUCCUGUCAUGGGACCAGGAGAGGAAAGGUGAAAGAACUGGAUGCCAAUCUGAAACUAUGACAUCACUGAGCUGCUGACUCCGCUGCAGCCACCACCCUCCUCUGGACUUCUGGUUAUAUGCAAAAUGUAAACUCUUUGCCAGGCUUUCUAUUUCUUGCAAUUGAAAGUAUUUGUAGUGGAUAAAAUACAUAUGAAUAAAUUCAGGUUGUCAAUAGUUUAGGAUCAGGAACCUUGGAGCACUCUGUGAGGUAACUGUAUUACAACAUCUUUGGGGAAAGUAUUGGGAAUGACUACAAAUUACUCAACCAGAGACUAAAAAGAACGUUAAGGAGAAAGAUUCAUCUAUUAAAUGUACUCAUUGAUUUGUUCCAGUAUUUACUGAGUUGUAUUUGAUAGGUACGGUGCUACUGAGAUAAUGUGAUGAAAGGGAUGAACAAGCCCCUGCCGUUGUGUAGUAUGUGCACUUCAUAAAAGACUUAUGAGAAGAUGCAUACUGAGUGGCAAGUGCUAAGAAAAAACAUUAAGACAAUAAUGUGAUGAGUGAGGGAGUUCAGUGGAGGGACUCUCUUUCUGAUAAAAAUCGAAGGAUAAGGGGUCCAGAAGGGGAAAACUCUUGGGAAACAACCUUGCAAGGAGAGCAGGUGCAAAGCUGUGAAGCAGGAGAAUUCUGGGAGAGAAUUCAGUGUGGCUGGAGCAGUGUGAGUCAAGGACAGACGUGAGGUGAGCACAGAGAGGCAGUGCGCCAGUCACACCUUGUGAGACCUAGCACACCAAGGUAAGGAAAUGGACUUCAUCUCACUUUAAAUAUCGUUGGAAGCUAAUGAGGGGCUUUAAGCAGAGGAAUGAGAUGUUCUCAUUUAUGUUUUUAGGGCUUCUUUCUGUCUGGAGUAUGGACUAUGAGGAGAGAGCUGAAUUAGGGAUACCACGUGGCAAUAAUCCAGGAGUCCUGUACUUGAUAUGAACCAGAUUCAGCAUUGGACAGAAACUUCCUGAUGAGAUACGUGGAAAUUCUAAAAUACGAAAUAUAAUAAAUUAUAAACACCUCUCUAUCUGCAAAAGAUGGUCAUGGCGAGAAAAUGGUCAGAAAAUCUCUAGGGAGGAGAGUGUGAAUGGUGUUUUGAUGCUUGACUUUCUUUGCUUGCCUUAUCACAAACUUUCCGGAAAGCACGAAUGGAGUCUGAUAAUCUUGUUUGGAGCCUGCUAAGAAGUCCAGUCAUCUAAUAAUAGCUAUCCCAGGAUGAAUUGACAAAGUAGCCAAAACACUCACCUGAAAACUAUUCCCUUUGACUGAACAUAUAUUGAAUUUCUCAGUAUGGUAAGCUGGAAGACACAGUUAAGCUGGAAGACACAGUGUAACAACUCUGCACCAUUUAUUUUUGAGAGCCUACUGUGUGUGAGGCCACGUUCGAGGGGUUAUGAUAGAGGAGGAACAACAGAAACAAGUCUCUUCUCUCACAAGCCACACAGAUGCUGAUUAAGUGUUAAGAAAGAGAAGAAAAAUGAAGCAGGAAAUGAGUAUAGACUGUGAUCACAGUAAGUGGUCUGUUUUACGUAAGAUAGCAAGGAUGGACCUUUUUGAUUUGCGGCCCCUAUUUGAACACAGAUCUGAAUUAAAUGAGGGAGCAAAAACUGAUACACACUCAAAUAAAGCUCAGGGAGUGUGGCUAUCUGGGUGAAGAAAAGUUUUCAGCAGAAAGAACAGCCAGUACAAAAAAUGAGGAAUGACACGGGGGUCAGUGGGGCUGGAGAAGAGAGUGAGUGGCAGAAAUUAGGGUCAGAGAAAUCAUAUAAGACAGUGAAUUGUAUUUUAAAAAUUUCUUUUGGAGUAUGGUUGAUUUACAACGUUGUGUUAAUUUCUGGCACACAGCAUAGUGGAGUUGUAGUAGAGAAUAACCUUUGUUUUGUUGGAGGUCUGCAGGGACAC